rnacentral:rRNA from 1 species
CCCUUAGAUGUUCUGGGCCGCACGCGCGCUACACUGAUGCAUUCAACGAGUCAAAAACCUGGUCUGAUAGGGCUGGGUAAUCUUUUGAAUGUGCAUCGUGAUUGGGAUAGAUGAUUGCAAUUCUUCAUCUUCAACGAGGAAUGCCUAGUAAACGCAAGUCAUCAGCUUGCAUUGAUUACGUCCCUGCCCUUUGCACACACCGCCCGUCGCUCCUACCGAUUGAAUGUUCCGAUGAAUACCAUGGACUGAGAGUAUGAAUGGGUUCGCCUAUUUCUGCUUCUCGGGAAGUGGAGUAAAUCUUAACAUUUAGAGGAAGGAGAAGUCGUAACA